rnacentral:rRNA from 1 species
CCAAUGGAAGUACGAGGCAAUAACAGGUUAACCUUUUUUGAGUUAUAACGCUCAUCACAGGCCUGCAACAGUGAACCUCGUUAAAGAAAUCACUAGUUGAGCGUCUUUAUCCCUCUGGUGGAAGUCCACCAACUGUCGGGGAGGGAGCAGCCACGCCAGUGGAUGGUGACGCCAGCGAGACAAUCUGGUUCAGGGGACGCUUACCUUCUAAGGGAGACUGCCGACCCUGAGGCGAGCCGAAGUA